UACCAGCUCUCCGAGUGGUAGGGAUGUUUAUUGGCUUAAAGCGUCCGUAGCCGGCUUAGCAAGUCUCCUGUUAAAUUCAGCGACCUAAUCGUUGAGCCGCGGGAGAUACUACUAGGCUAGGAGGCGGGAGAGGUCAAUGGUACUUCCGGGGUAGGGGUGAAAUCCUAUAAUCCCGGGAGGACCACCAGUGGCGAAGGCUGUUGACUAGAACGCGCUCGACGGUGAGGGACGAAAGCUGGGGGAGCGAACCGGAUUAGAUACCCGGGUAGUCCCAGCUGUAAACGAUGCGGGCUAGGUGUUGGGGUGGCUACGUGCCACUUCAGUGCCGCAGGGAAGCCAUUAAGCUCGCCGCCUGGGGAGUACGGCCGCAAGGCUGAAACUUAAAGGAAUUGGCGGGGGAGCACCACAAGGCGUGAAGCUUGCGGUUC
rnacentral:rRNA from 1 species